UAGAGCCGGUGCAGCAGUAAAACACCUCAAACAACAAACGAGAAAACAGACCCGGGUCAAGGCAACAACAAAAGAAAAGUCUUACGCAGGUAUCCUCGGGAAGCAGGGCACGCGGGGACACAGAAGACUCGAGUCUGGCGUUAGGUGGCUCCCUCCGCUUUUUCCUGCUGUUGGUGACGACGCCCAGGUCCUCGCCUGCCCGAGCGCAGCGGAGCAGGACUCGGAACGUUCUGGCUACGUCCUGCGGUGUCCGGUGUCCAGGUGCACCUCGGGGCGCUGAGGACGCGUCCCGCCCAGAGGCACAGUUUCCGGGCGUUUUUCUCCUUACGUCGUCAUGUUUCGGGCAGAGCAAAACGCCUAAAUUUCUCGCAGAACUCUCAUGCCCCAUAGGUACUCACAGUGUUACGAGUAAAGACAUUCCCAAGUGACCAAAUUUUAGAGAAUGACAGUAAAAUUGAUACUUGUAGAUGCCCUAGCCGGAUUACUACGAGGGAAAACUUGUGUCGCUUUUCCCUCUCUUCCAGUAAACUUCUACUCAGUUCUUCUUCUUCGCAACGAAUCGUGUUAAUCACGGCCACGGCCACGAGCAAAGGUAGAAAUUUUUACCCAAGAAAUGGGAAAUUUGAGGAGGCAAAGAUUACAACUAAAAAGUUGAAUAACAAGUGAAAAAAAAAAGAUUAAGGAAAAUAGAAAACUACAUAGUAAGGGAGUCAGUGCAAUGUUAAUUAUCAAAUGAAAUAUGUUUAUUCUUUUGCUAACUGAACCAGGACUGGCAAGCCUGUUGGUAAACAACUUGCCAGGAGACCUUUCAACAGAGCAAAAUGUGCUUUUCACUUUGUUACAAGGUCAGAAGGGUAAAGUAAGUUGAAAGUAUUGUUUGGGCAAAUCAGACAUGUUGAAUUGCUAAUAAAGUAAGAACAGGAGCACACAAAAUUCCUGAAAUUAAAGUACCAUUGGAAUAGCCUAUUAGAAACAAUAGUGAUGUUCUUUACUCUUCACUCAACCUCUGUGCCCUGAAGGCUGCACCUGACGUGAAGGUCAUCUUCGGGUAACUAGAGUGUUUUACUCCUUGCAAUCUAUUGCUGUAUCUGUGCUUUUGAUGAAUUAUAGGUCUUUGCAGUCUGUUAAUAGGAGGCCCAACUCCAGCCUGACCUGUUUCAGGUUAGGGAAAUUUAUAAAUCUUCUCCAUAGAUGAUAUACACUGUUAAAAAAAAAAAGA